CUGUGAUUCUAUCAAGACUUCAUUCUAGUUGCGUGGAAGUUAAAGAGCAAUCACAGAACCUUUCACAUCCAACCAGUUUGGGUUAUGUGCAUGGUCGUUAUUUUUCUCACUGCUUCAGGGCCUGCCCUCUGUGAUUCACAGGCUGCCCUCUCCUUGGAAAACUUCCAUGAACCUUCAGAAAUGGGAGGGCUUUGAGAUGAGUUACUGGGCUAAAACCAUCAAUAGGAAGGCACUGAUGAGCAGCAGGUACUGAGUGUUCAACCUCAUGCAUAAACUGGUCUUACUGCUUACUCCUAGGUGUAUUUCACCCAUUUUCUUACGUUGAAAAUAAUGUUUGCACUAUUCUGGUCACUUCAGCAGCCAGCUUUAUGUCACCAGCAUACUUCCCUAAAGACUGAGAUUUUGGUUCUAGCUCAACAUAUGGACCUCAGAACGAAGAGGUGACGUGAUUGAUCCCUCUCCCCCCGCCUCACAGCAUGUUGCUGACUUCUGCACAGCCCAGCUGAAGAUGGGCAGGCAGCUCCUGGAAGGACACACGAUGCCCUUUCUUCUUCUGAAUGUUGGCUUGCUGUGGGGCUCUGGAGAAAUAACUGAGCUGAGGAGGGGGACAGCGCUGGUGCUUAGGUCUCUAAGGUGUGAUCUCCUGCCUCCAUCCGAGACAGCUCAGGAAUCCAUAUGGUCCUGCCAAGGCAAAGGUCUUCAGCUCCUCACAGAUCUCUCCUCCUCUUGCUGCGGGCAGAAAGCUGGGUAGUGUUUUUGGACUUUGCUGCUUCAAACUUGUAAAACUUGUAUAGCAACUGUGAACUAAAACUCAAAUGAUACUCUAGCAAAACAAGCCUAUGCUCCUCCAGCACCUGCUCGUCUUGCAAGGAUGGAAAGGGAAAAUGGAUGGGUUUUGAGUUGUUUGAGGCACUUCAGGAGAACGCUGGGGUUAUGCAAUUGUAGUGGUGCACUGUCCUCACUGGAAGAAGAUAUGAGUUGGAACACUUCCCAGUGACUCCUCUUCCCUCUUUGUGUAUCUGUGAGGCAUAUAAAGUCCUUGAUAGGGAAGUAACUUUAUGGAAAUGAACUGCACUCAAAGCAAGAUUUAGGUAUUUGCUUCAAACAUAAACAUAAAGAAGAGCAUGCAGCCCAGCUCCCUACAGUGCACCAGUUAAAACUCUGCACGUUGUACCAUAUAGCACAGCACGGCUGGCUUUGCAAAUGAGGUCCCCAGAGCAUCACAUUCACCUGCAAAGGCUCAGCUCUUCAGAGGAAGUCAGGAACUAAGGAUUAAUAAGGAGAAAAAAAAAAAAAAAGUCCUGAAAAUAUGGCCAUCUAUCACGGUGCUACUCGUGUAUUUUCUUCCUCACUUUGCUUUGCCAAAGUGUUUUGCUUAGUUUUAUUUCUAUGAAACAGGUUGCUUUAUUUGUGAACAAAGCCUUGAUGGUCUUUGUUUUUCCUCCAGUGCUUUUUCAGGCAAAGCUCAAGAAACAUUAAAUAAAAACACGAAACUGAGGAGCAGCUGAUGGACUGUGGCUCUGGACCCAGAAUAAUUAAGACUGAGGCUGUUAUCACUUCUUUUUGUAUUAUGAACAUUGUGAUGUUAGCGUUGAUAAAAUCAAUGCAUACAUCUUUAAAAAAAGUAUCAGAAAGAAAAAACAUAGAGCCUGGAUUCACCUUUCAGGGGGACUCGGUGAGAAGGAAAUGAUUGUUUGUCACUCUGGAUGCAUCAGAAGAAGGAUGUAGGUGGUUCUCUCAGAGUGACACUCUCCCUUCAGUGCUGGGGAGGAGUGUUGUAGCAGUUCAAAGCCAUGGAAAUCAAUGGAAAUGUCCCUGGAGAAGCGAGACUGGGUUUGCAUGGAAAGAGCAUGGACACAUUUAGGAACCUGCUCGAGCAGGCAUCUGCAGGAAAGCCACUAAGUGCACAAGCCUCUUUGCAAAGUGGAUCCUUGUGUCUGAUUCUCAGCAUGAAAUGACUGCAUGGCUCCAGCCCAAGAACAGCACUGACAUCUCCGGCUUGCAGACAGUUUCUGUGCAUCAUCUUGCCAUGCUGCUGAUGGGAAAGCUUCCUGCAGGCCACGGCUGGGAAAGGUGCUGGCAAAUGCCACUUCUGUUGGUGCCUCUCCCAGCAUGGAAGCCUUGGGAAGAUCUCAAGAAUCCAUCUACACCAUCCUUCAGCCCCAAGGCAGGAUAAGCGCUGGCUUAGGACCACUCCCAGAAUGUUUGCCCAACCUGUUCCUAAAAGCCUGAGUGAUGCCAAGCUGCCUUCUCUGCCCAUGCAGUCUGGUGUUUGUGCUCGACCAAGAGAAGAGCCAUCCUUGCUUCCCCAACCCAAACCAUAUGUUGUUUUG
ensembl:lncRNA